AUGUGGAUGUGGCCAUUUCCAGUGUCUCCACCCCACCACGAGCCCCUGUCGUCAGCUCACGGUGGAUUUUAGUGAAGAUGUGUCUGUAGCUGUCUUACAGGUGGAGGCUGAGGCUGUAGGUGGAGGUUUUAGCAUCAGCUAUCUUCAAGAAUCUGCAAGACAAGGAAGCUGCAGGAGGAGCUGGAGGUUGAAUUAGCUUGCAGCAAUCUGCAGGACUAGAUGGGUGGAGGCUGCUGACAGAGCAUGUGGAGGGUUUGGCCUUAGUUGUCUUCAACAACUGGCAGGUGGAGGUGGCUGCACGUUGCUGGAAGAGGUUGAUGGUGGAAGCUUGGGCUACAGAUGUCUACACCUACAGAUGCUGGAAGAUGGCAAAUCAGUAAAUGCAGCCGCUGUCAACGAACUCUUAAAUCAGCCUCCACCACCUACAUCAUCUGCCAGGACACUAACAACAUCUGCAAGCAACCUGAAGUGCUAUGUUCCAUCCUCCACCUACAUGCUCUGUCAGCAACAUCCACCGUGGCCUCCACCUGAAGAUUGCUUGCAGUAAGCUGAUUCCUCCACCUACAGCCUCUUACAGAAACCUGCAACACAGCCUCCAUCUGAUGAGUCUGACUAUACAAGUAUAUUCCAAGUCCGCACCUCCAGCCUCAAAAAUCUUGUGAUGCCACCUCCACCAUCAUAUUCUGGCAGAUGUUGGCCCAUGUCUCCACCUCCAGCCUCUCCCAACAACCAGCCAUCACCUCCACCUGCCAGUUGUUGUAGACAGCUAUGGCCAAACCCUUCACCUACAUCCGCUGCCAGAAUAUUCCACUGGGACCUCCACCUAUACAGUCAGCAUCCUGCAGCCUCCUCCACCCUCAGCUUCUAGCAGGCAGCUAAGACCAAAUCCUCUGAGGCUGUCCUCACCUCCACCUGAAGAUUCCUGUAGACAGCUUUAGUCUGCUCCUCCAUCUACCUCUGACAGUUGGAUUCAUCUCUGUGCUUCAACUACACAUGUGCCCAUUAAGUCCAACCUGUGUAACCUGCAUGGCAUGUCUCCUGUGGACCUAGAGCACUAACAAGAAGCAGAGAUAAGUAACACAUUUGUCACUUUUAAUGUAUUUUAACAAACUAUAUGACUUUGUAUGUACUUUAGAAAUUGUCAGUCUAAAUUAAUGUUUUUAAUCUCUUUUAUCCCUCCCUCUUCCAGGAUGUCAUCAGCAGAGCUACGUCACGAUCUUGUAGAUGUGGACAUUUCCAUUGCCUCCAUCCUGUGCCAGGAAUCUCCAGCUCCCUCCACCUGCAGAUUCGUGCAGACAGCUGUGGCCAGACCCUCCACCAACAUCUUCUGCCAUCAACAUGAACUACAACCUCCACCUGCAGAUGGCUGAAACCUGACUCCACUACCGCCACCACCACCUACAGCCUCUGCAAAAUUCUUGUAAUGCAAUAUCCCACAACGAGGACACUAAGAGGAAGCAGAGAGCCGUGUCAUGACCUUGUGGAUGUAGCCAUUUCCAUUGCCUCAACCCCACCUCCAACCUCUGCCAGGAAACUUCAGCUUCUUCCACCUGCAGAUUCUGGAAGACAGCUAAGGCCAGACUCUCCACCUCCAACCUCUGUCAGAAACCUACAACCCCAGUAAGCCGUUGCCUGAAGCCUCCACCAACAACCUGUGGCCUGUGUGACCUGCAUGACAUGUCUCCUGUGGAACUACUAGGACACUAUGAAGAAGCAGAAGUUAUCUACAGAGUUAUGUCCUCCUCCUCCUCAUUCUCCAAGUUUCUAACUUCUGCUCCUAUCCUCAACUGAGAGUGCUCCCUCACAUGGGCUCUUCCACUCAAAACCAAGGUUUGAGCCCAUCCAACAAGUCUGUGUCCUUUGACCUCUCUAUUGCAAGAAGGAAAAUGGAAAGAGAGUCAUUGAAAUACUUGCCUGCAUUAGUCUGUUCUCAGCAAAUGCUAUAAAAAUCAUCCAGCUGAAGAUUUGCUGUUUUGUCACUAUAACAAUACAGUUGUGAUACUCUAACUAACCAUGGUCUGAGUUAUUCCUGAUAUGUCAAAAGCUAAUGUGUAAAUGUGUGUAUUACAUUAGCUGCUGAAAUAAACAUGACGCAGACUGUACAGUGUGUUUUUGAUCACUUAACACAAACCAUGAAACUGAUUUAACACCAUAAGAAACAUUUUUCUUCAUAAAAGAGGAUAUGUUCACUGAUUUAUUACUAAUGUACUAAUGUAUUGAUAUAUUAUAUAUUGAUAUAAUAGGUAAUGCCAAAAAUGCUCACUUGACUUGCUGUGGCAUGUAGAGUUGAGCGAUAUAGAAAUACGAAAAUAUAUUUGUAAUACUUUCUGUGAAGGUGCAUCAUAAGCACAUUUAUAACACAUUCUAACACAUUUAAAAGGCUUUAUAAAACUCUUUAGAAAUGUUUAUAAUAAUAACAAGGUUUAUAAAGUUUUAUAAGUGGUGAAAA